UGGGGAAUUUUGGACAAUGGGGGAAACCCUGAUCCAGCCAUGCCGCGUGUAUGAAGAAGGCCUUAGGGUUGUAAAGUACUUUUGUUAGGGAAGAAAAGCUAGUUUUUAAUAAAAAUUAGUGAUGACGGUACCUAAAGAAUAAGCACCGGCUAACUACGUGCCAGCAGCCGCGGUAAUACGUAGGGUGCAAGCGUUAAUCGGAAUUAUUGGGCGUAAAACGAGUGCAGACGGUUACUUAAGCCAGAUGUGAAAUCCCCAAGCUUAACUUGGGACGUGCAUUUGGAACUGGGUGACUAGAGUGUGUCAGAGGGAGGUAGAAUUCCACAUGUAGCGGUGGAAUGCGUAGAGAUGUGGAGGAAUACCGAUGGCGAAGGCAGCCUCCUGGGAUAACACUGACGUUGAGGCUCGAAAGCGUGGGGAGCAAACAGG
rnacentral:rRNA from 1 species